GAUGAACGCUGACAGAAUGCUUAACACAUGCAAGUCUUUGGCGAAGCUGUGCUUGCACAGCCUAGCCAAGGCGGACGGGUGAGUAACGCGUAAGGAACUUGCCCUGCAGUCAGGGAUAACAGACGGAAACGACUGAUAAGACCUGGUAAAGUCAGGCGGACUCAUGUCCAGCCUGAUGAAAAGUGAUGCUGCAGGAGAGCCUUGCGUCCUAUUAGCUUGUUGAUGGGGUAACGGCCCACCAAGGCGAUGAUAGGUAGCCGGCCUGAGAGGGUGGACGGCCACAAGGGGACUGAGAUACGGCCCUUACUCCUACGGGAGGCAGCAGUGGGGAAUAUUGGACAAUGGGGGCAACCCUGAUCCAGCAAUUCUGUGUGCACGAUGAAGGUUUUCGGAUUGUAAAGUGCUUUCAGCAGGGAAGAAAAAAAUGACGGUACCUGCAGAAGAAGCGACGGCUAAAUACGUG
rnacentral:rRNA from 1 species